GUACACCAGGGAACUGUGUACAACAUCUGUCACCACUGAGGUCGCCAGGGUUGGUCUGGCUCAUCUGCCUGGCUAGGCAGGUGUCCCCUUCCUCCCUUGCCACUCCAUGUGCGUCCCUCCCCAAGCUGUGCACUUAAGAUUGAGGACGGGGCCUCCCGAACAGAGGGCUGCUCUUUGUUCAGGGUGUAUGAGUAGCUGCUCUCUCCUCCUAGAACUCCAAACGAGCUACCAAGAGGCCUGAGAGGAGGCUGCCGGGGCACGGGCAGGGAAA
rnacentral:snRNA from 1 species